rnacentral:rRNA from 1 species
GUGGGGAAUAUUGGACAAUGGGCGAAAGCCUGAUCCAGCCAUGCCGCGUGUGUGAAGAAGGUCUUCGGAUUGUAAAGCACUUUAAGUUGGGAGGAAGGGCAGUAAGUUAAUACCUUGCUGUUUUGACGUUACCGACAGAAUAAGCACCGGCUAACUUCGUGCCAGCAGCCGCGGUAAUACGAAGGGUGCAAGCGUUAAUCGGAAUUACUGGGCGUAAAGCGCGCGUAGGUGGUUCAGCAAGUUGAAGGUGAAAUCCCCGGGCUCAACCUGGGAACUGCCUCCAAAACUGCAUGACUAGAGUACGGUAGAGGGUAGUGGAAUUUCCUGUGUAGCGGUGAAAUGCGUAGAUAUAGGAAGGAACACCAGUGGCGAAGGCGACUACCUGGACUGAUACUGACACUGAGGUGCGAAAGCGUGGGGAGCAAACAGGAUUAGAAACCCUUGUAGUCC